UUAUGGCUCAGGAUGAACGCUAGCGACAGGCUUAACACAUGCAAGUCGAGGGGCAGCAUAAAAGUAGCAAUACUUGGUGGCGACCGGCGCACGGGUGAGUAACGCGUAUGCAACCUACCUAUCAGAGGGGAAUAACCCGGCGAAAGUCGGACUAAUACCGCAUAAAACAGGGGCACCGCAUGGUGAUAUUUGUUAAAGAAAUUCGCUGAUAGAUGGGCAUGCGUUCCAUUAGGUAGUUGGUGAGGUAACGGCUCACCAAGCCGACGAUGGAUAGGGGAACUGAGAGGUUGGUCCCCCACACUGGUACUGAGACACGGACCAGACUCCUACGGGAGGCAGCAGUGAGGAAUAUUGGUCAAUGGGCGGGAGUCUGAACCAGCCAAGUCGCGUGAAGGAAGAAGGAUCUAUGGUUCGUAAACUUCUUUUGCAGGGGAAUAAAGUGCAGGACGUGUCCUGUUUUGUAUGUACCCUGAGAAUAAGGAUCGGCUAACUCCGUGCCAGCCGCCGC
rnacentral:rRNA from 1 species